GCAGAGCGGUGCUUACACAGAACCAAGGACUUUUUAGUUCUGGCAAGGAGGCUGGGGGCACACCAGGAGCUAAGAGGGGACACAGCCAAGACAGCUGGCCCAGGCUGCCCAACGGGAUGUCCUAUGUCAUGUAGAGUCAUGCUCAGCAAUAACAUGCAGUACCUCAACACAUGCCAAAACCAAGAGCAGAAAAGAAAAGCCCUCUAUGGAGCAGAAAAUGAAGCUACAUCCAAGGAUUUUGAGGUGGCUUUUAUUUACAAAAAGGAUAUAUCUUAUCCUGUUGAAUGAGUCUAAUGAGGUUGUACCGUGGGUCUGACUGGAGUCAUUGGGGAAACCUCAAAAUGCUUCUGAAUGGAGUUGUACGGUGCCAAAGAAAGCUUCACAAACACCAUGACUAAUGAUACAACUAGCAUAUAUAUCAAUGUAUACAAUGAAAACAAGGUAUUAGUUCAUCUAUCACAUUACCAAUCAGCUUUGAAAUGACUAAGGCAGUAGUUAAACUUUUUUAUUCUUCUUGCCAGCUUAUUUUUUUUUUUCUCAGGUGGUAUUUUCAAUUUUUGCAAAAGUACUGCCCAGGGUUCGUUAGCACUAGAGCUCCCCUUGUUUCGUGUAACUUAUUGAUACAUAUCUUUUGUAAGAAACUUUUUUUUUUUUUUUCCAAAUGCAUUCAGUAGGAUAGUCUUUUGAUUGGCAAAGCCAAAAACCUUGCAGGCCAAUAACCUUCCCAUAAAGCACAUCUGCAAGAGUGGUCUGAGUUUCCACAAACAAGGCCUUUCUGUAGUUUGUUCAGUUUCUUGCUAUUCUUUGUACAAUCUUUGAAUUCAGGACCUGGGCCACAACAUGAAAUAGGGGAUCCUGUAGAGUCUCUAGCAGCUGCACCGCUCCUUCCCUCUGCUCCCAAAGGUCUGCAGUGUGCCAUCUCCUGCAGGGUUUUAAUGACAACUGUCGCAGCUUUGUGCCAGGACUGUGCAGCAGUAGGCAAGGGGUAUGUCCGAAGAGUACUCUCCAUGCGAGAGACUAAGCCAGUGAUUUGUUUUGGGAUUGCCCAGUUGGUGGUGUCUGAGCUGUGCGCUGUUCUGGGGAAGCUAGAUGUGAACCGCCCUAGGGAACUGUUAUGCCGCUUACCCUGAUGCUGUGAUAAUGCUGUAUAAUCUAAUAUGAAGUUGCAAGACAAAUGGAUCCCAAGCUGUCCUGAGACCUGCCAGCAUGCCCAGCCCUCUCCUCUCAGCAGCAGACUGCUGGGAGCCCUAGAGCAACUGGAGGCCUCUCCCAGAGAGGAUUUUGUCCCAGAGCAUUUCCUACCACAGGUUUCCCAAAUAUGUUGUGAUUAUUUGUGAUUAUGUCACAUAAGGGCUUGUUUAUGUGUGGAUAGUAGAAACCGGACUAUUGGAUGUCUUGGCUAAACUACUGUGUUCAUUUUACUGAUAAAAUGUGACACGUGUGGAUUAGGAGGGCUUUUCUAAUAAAUAUUCAUUUAUGAAGUGUAAUUUAUUAUAACAAUUCUUUCUGUUAACAGCUACUGUUAUCCAGUAGUGAUUUUCAUUAACAAAUUACUUUUUUUUUUUUUUCAGCUUGAAAGCAAUGACAUUAAUUACUGCUAUAAUUCUUUAUAUUGUUUUGUAUUUCAUUGCUGAUUCUUAAUUACAAUGUGAACUCUCUAGGAGCAAAAGAAAUUCAGAAGGACUUGUAUGGAAAAUUCCUGUAAAAGUUAAUAUACGUGUCUCCCUGCAAUCAGUUACAUAUACUUUUGCAGUUUGAGUGUUGUUGCCAGAACACCUGUGUCCUGUAAUGUAGAAUACUAUACUGCUUUUGCAAGACAAAUAAAACUAUUACCCUUUGUUAA